UGACACAGUCAUACUAACAGAACUCCCAGUGUAGACAANGUAGACAGCAGUACAUUGACAGGAGAGCUUCUCCCGUUGCCCUAGCUACCGCCUCUUACAGAGGUGGAUUAAUUACACUGAUGGGAGAAGCUCCCCGGUCGGCGUAGCAGCGUCUUCACUUAAGUAUUACAGUGGCACCAGUAUGUUAGUGCCGCUGCAGCAUUUUAAGUGCAGACCUGCCCUAAGACAGGCAGGCUCUGCUGUGACCCUGGGAGUGGCUCCUGGUUGGCCAGUCUGCGUGUGCCUGGAGGAUCACAGAGUUACAGAGACAGGCAUGGAAAAGGGUUGAGAAAUUCCUGUCACCAGUAUAAUGCCGAGCAAUUCAAUCUUGUCCUCUCUCAUCACCAAUUUAUUGCAANCCGAGCAAUUCAAUCUUGUCCUCUCUCAUCACCAAUUUAUUGUCAGUCCCAGCUGCUGGAGUGGAUAGAUUUGAGGGAGCGCAGAUUACAUUACAGAUACAUUUCCAGCCUUCAUGUUUGUGUAGAAAAGUCUGAAGACUGGAAACAAGAACAUCCAGAAAGGUCAGAAACCAGAAGGCAGUGAAAAAUAACGUAAUAUUAAAAAAGAUUAAGACAAACAUGAUUUUGGGGAGCCUGACACAUCAUUUUCAUAUGUUUAAGGCUGGCAAUGUGUGAUAGCCAUAAUUUAUCUAUUUCCCACAUCUUUGCUCUACUUUAGAUACCUCAUAUUGAGAGUGAUACCCACACCUCUGUCAUGAUUUUAAUCGUAUAGCUCCUAGGGAUAAAAACCAAAUUGGUUCUGAUAUUGUACACGCCGGUUCCCAAAGAAGGGGACGAUCUUCCCAGUGAAAGAGGAUGUGAAAGUAAAGACUGGCUCUCUGCCAGAAGAUGUAAUGUCAUAAAAUGUAACUUUCUCCCCUUCGUAAUCCAGAUAAACCCCAAUGUUACUGGGUCUAUGAUGUAGGCCCAGAGCAGUCUUAGGGGAGGUGAGGGCGCAGUACUGAUAUUUUGUAUUCUGCAAAGCCCAGAUCCCUUCCUCUGGUGUACAGCUUAUCGCUCCCCCAUGUAUCACAGACUCUUUGGCAAUGCCCAAAACCCAAAAAUCUUUGUUCCCCACCUCCACUUGCCAGUAACAUCUCCCCGAGGUGAAGCCCUUAUAGCCUAGCACACAGGCAGCAGGGUAAAACCUGUUCUGUGGCACUAAAUAUCCUGUGUUUUGGUAUUUCUGUAUCACACUCUCAUCUGUGGACACGAUGGAACAAGGAUUUGCCAGAUCUGGAUCCGGAGUGGCCUGCACUGCAAGAGGGGAGAGAGACACACACACACGGGAGAAGAGUGUUAAGGUCUGUCCUCACUGCAGAGUUAACCCAGGCACUUAGUCAGCUGCUAACUCUAAUGCCCUU
rnacentral:lncRNA from 1 species